CACACCGCCCGUCACACCAUGGGAGUCAGUUGUGCCGGAAGCCGGCGACCCAACCCGCAAGGGGGGUAGCCGUCCAUGGUAUGGCUGAUGACUGGGGUG
rnacentral:rRNA from 1 species